rnacentral:rRNA from 1 species
GAUGAACGCUGGCGGCGUGCCUAAUACAUGCAAGUCGAGCGAACAGAUGAGGAGCUUGCUCCUCUGACGUUAGCGGCGGACGGGUGAGUAACACGUGGAUAACCUACCUAUAAGACUGGGAUAACUUCGGGAAACCGGAGCUAAUACCGGAUAAUAUAUUGAACCGCAUGGUUCAAUAGUGAAAGACGGUUUUGCUGUCACUUAUAGAUGGAUCCGCGCCGCAUUAGCUAGUUGGUAAGGUAACGGCUUACCAAGGGAACGAUGCGUAGCCGACCUGAGAGGGUGAUCGGCCACACUGGAACUGCGGCACGGUCCAGACUCCUACGGGAGGCAGCAGUAGGGAAUCUUCCGCAAUGGGCGAAAGCCUGACGGAGCAACGCCGCGUGAGUGAUGAAGGUCUUCGGAUCGUAAUACUCUGUUAUUAGGGAAGAACAAAUGUGUAAGUAACUAUGCACGUCUUGACGGUACCUAAUCAGAAAGCCACGGCUAACUACGUG